GCGACCGUAGCUCAGCUGGUGAUAGCGCCCGAGUAGCAUUCUGGAGGUAGCGGGUUCAAGUCCUGCCAGGCAGCG
rnacentral:tRNA from 1 species